rnacentral:miRNA from 1 species
CAGUAAAAUGUGAAUUUCAGGUAAAAUUAAUACGUUUUUAGUAUAAGUAUGUCCCAUGUAAUGUUUGAGACAUACUUAUACUAAAAAAUCAUUUUUGGUGUCUCUUAACUGGAUAU